AACGAACGCUGGCGGCAGGCUUAACACAUGCAAGUCGAACGGUUGCAGCAAUGCAGCAGUGGCAGACGGGUGAGUAACACGUGGGAACCUUCCUAGGGGUACGGAACAACUCAGGGAAACUUGAGCUAAUACCGUAUACGUCCGUGAGGAGAAAGAUUUAUCGCCCUUAGACGGGCCUGCGUCGGAUUAGCUAGUUGGUGGGGUAACGGCCUACCAAGGCGACGAUCCGUAGCUGAUCUUAGAGGAUGAUCAGCCACACUGGGACUGAGACACGGCCCAGACUCCUACGGGAGGCAGCAGUGGGGAAUCUUGGACAAUGGGCGCAAGCCUGAUCCAGCCAUGCCGCGUGAGUGAAGAAGGUCUUCGGAUUGUAAAGCUCUUUUGCCAGGGACGAUAAUGACGGUACCUGGAGAAUAAGCCCCGGCAAACUUCGUGCCAGCCGCCGCAGUAACAC
rnacentral:rRNA from 1 species